rnacentral:rRNA from 1 species
AUUGAACGCUGGCGGCAUGCUUUACACAUGCAAGUCGAACGGUAACAGGCCGCAAGGUGCUGACGAGUGGCGAACGGGUGAGUAAUGCAUCGGAACGUGCCCAGCCGUGGGGGAUAACUACUCGAAAGAGUAGCUAAUACCGCAUACGAUCUAUGGAUGAAAGCGGGGGACCGUAAGGCCUCGCGCGAUUGGAGCGGCCGAUGUCAGAUUAGGUAGUUGGUGGGGUAAAGGCUCACCAAGCCAACGAUCUGUAGCUGGUCUGAGAGGACGACCAGCCACACUGGGACUGAGACACGGCCCAGACUCCUACGGGAGGCAGCAGUGGGGAAUUUUGGACAAAGGGCGCAAGCCUGAUCCAGCAAUGCCGCGUGCAGGAAGAAGGCCUUCGGGUUGUAAACUGCUUUUGUACGGAACGAAACGGCUCUGGUUAAUACCCGGGGCUAAUGACGGUACCGUAAGAAUAAGCACCGGCUAACUACGUG